GGUAGAUAACUCGAUAAACUUCCCACCUGAUUAGUACGAUCGCAAGAUUAAAAUUCAAAAAAAUAGACGGUGUAUCACCCCCUCGGUGGAACAUGUGGUUUAAUUCGAUGAUACGCGCGUAACCUUACCCAUUGCUUGAAUAGAGAGCGCAUAGUAGACGAUCAAAAUGAUCCCGUGAACUUGGCCCCCGACUACGGAAGUAGCCUACAAGGAUUACGGGCAAUAUGAUAUUAGCUCUUUACAGGUGUUGCAUUGCCGUCGUCAGUUCGUGUUAUUCAGACGUCAGGUUAAUUCCAUAAGAAACGAACGAAACCCCGGAUUCAAAUUAGUAAGUAUAUAUUAGUGUAUACACUACCUUUGAAUGACUGCCAAUUAAAAAUCUUCUAGAGAGAGAGAGAGAAAGAUAGUCACACCAUGUAAAUCUUAAGCAAGAGCAAGAUCUAGAUCUAGGUCUUGCGUCCCACAGGGAAACUCUGAUUUAGAAAAAAACCUAAUGGUAGAUCCCCUGAGGGAUCGUACAUCCGUACCUUCGGAUCGUACAUCCCGGAGGGGAUUAAUAACCACUCCCCAUCCCCCGUAGACCCCUCGUUAGAGGGAGGCUAGAUGCUCUCUCAGAUGUGUGACCGAGCCCCACUUAUGAGGGAGCAUCUAGCCAACUGCAUAGGCUCACCCAAUAAGAUAUAUAUAUAUAUAUGCCCCCCACUGCUCCCCAGAGCUAUGGGGGUAUCUAAUAUAUCUAAUCACUUGAACAAAUUGGAAAAAAAGAAGGUCGGGAUAACGUCAGGUAUUAAUGACCCUUAUGUAUGGGGCUACACACGU
rnacentral:ncRNA from 1 species